CCUGUGUACUUAUAUAGUAACUACAUGUUUGUUACCACAGUGUAAGUACAUUGGUUACUCUUUACAUAAAUUGUGGUUGGUGUCCAGAACGUUACACUUUAUAUUAACUGGACGGUUCCUAACUUGUUACCAUGUGGUUCACCAACUCGAGGUCUGACUCCUCCCACUUCACAAACCCCUAAACCUACUCCUCUCCAGCCCCUGGAUCACAUACCACUUACACACACCAUUCUGAGGACUGUUACAUGUGUGUAGUUACAGAAAUAUUACUGCUGUAGAUACUGUGUACUUACAAUAUGAUUACAUCCUACAUACACAAGUUACUAUGUAAAUACACACAGGUAUUAGGGACACAAUAUAAAGUGGGACCAAAGUAAGUCUUACAGUAUAUAGUAUGAAUGUAAUCCAGAUUUGACUGUAAUCUACAGCGUCAGCUGCUGAGCUUCACUGCUUUUCACAACUCCUCUCCUAUGGCCCCACGAGAUAGACGUCCAUUAAACGUGCGUUCCAGAAUCUCACCCCAAAUAUUAGGUCAUCUGGGUUUUUACCUGCUGUUUUAUAAAUACUGUGAAUCGGGACAUACGUGUUUUUGCUUAAAAACAAAGCAGAAUACAGAAGUUUACUAUACACAACACCUAUUUGUGGACAGCUUUUCUUCCACGCAAAAUAAUCCACAUGCCAACAAAACAAUGGGAACGCAGAACAAUAAUGAUGAUUCACAGCUACAGAGCAUAGGGGCCAAAGCUAUUGUGGAUCCGCUUACCUGAAUCCUCCGUAAUUGGCACAGAUUUGGAGAAAAUUACCACUGUUUAGCGAAUAAUUUACGGACAGUUACACCAACAUUUUAUCAUGUAAGUCCCGUGUUACACCUCAGAUGACAAGGCAGAUUUAUAGUCACAUUGAUAUUUAGCCAGCCAAAGUCAUUCUAUGUAGGCUGCUCAGUAGUUUCUCGCAGUUCACUAGGUUUCAAAACUAUUUCUCGUUGCUCUCGUUCCGUUUCUCUCUCUCUCUCUCUCUCUCUCUUUGUCUGUCUCCUACUCUUCACACCCACAAGCUGGGAUAAUAGCGCUGCGUCUGCAGCUUGGCAAGAUGGAGAGCGUGCGGAGGGAAAGAGGAAGUGCUAAGAGAUCGUGAGGGAGAGGGAGGGCGAGCAAGCCAGAGCAUCUCCAGUGACAUGAUAUUUAGCACAGCCAAAGAUAUCAGAGAGAAGAGGAGGUCGCAAAACUGGAUAUGUUAAUGAGAAGAGGAAGCCUGGAGCUUUGCAAAAGACUGGAAUAUCUGGUCACCAGACGUGCAGUGACUGUGAUGCUGGUGCUCUCAACAGGCCUGCGGGAAAGCUCAAACUGAGGCUCACUCUCCUCCAGGUCGCUGUCCCUCUCCUCUCCACUCUCCUCCAUUGUCUCCUCCGCCUCUCCUCCCUCUCGCUCCUCCUCUACCUCCCCAUUAGUCUGAGGAACCUCGGGGUCGGCCUCUGUCUCCAUCUCCUCCUCGGGUUCUCUGGCAGCCGGAUGUCAUCAACAGGACCUGUAAUGAAAGCCCGGAACAUCCUCUGAGUUUCACAUGACAAACGAGAAGGACGGAGACUGACGUCAUGAAGGGCAAAGCAGAUCAACAAUAUUCAACUGCCAGUGAAAUUAAUACCUCAUUUAUCAUACAGAAGAGGAAGCAAUCUGUCACAAAAGGUGAAUUGGAAGCGUCCCACCUAUCUGAGCGCAUGUUGUUCUAAACUCUACACGCUCUAUUGAAGUGUAUAUUUGCUCAACGCUGACAGAGAUAUUUAUGCCUGAUAUGCGAUCACGUAUUCAAGUGCCAGCAUUUCUACGUGUGGCUAAUGACUGAAGGGGUUCCCACAUGAGCUGGUUAAACUCUGACGCCAUGAUAAGAUCAGAGAACAGAGAUAAAGAAGAGUGAGAACCUGUGAUCAGACAGGAAGGAGGAAAUGACUAGACAUUAGACAUCAGUUCCACUCAUUUGAAUUUAUCAAUAAAUCUAAAAACCCACAAAUUCUCUCUCUUCUUCUCUCAGGCUUAUACUGUGAGCAUAUGCAAAAAGUUGCUUAAUAUUACCCAGGAGACAAAUUACGUUUCAGUCCAGGUGUGCACAUUCAAAAGCUCUCGUCAUUGCACAACAAUAUUCGACAUUACUGGAAGAGCAAUUUUAGAAUUUCCUUUGGAUACUUUAUCUGUUGGUUAAAAAAAACAUCUUGGGCAAUGAUUCAUUUCUCAAUGACUGGACUGUGUGAGUAAAUACGUGCAUGGAUAAAACAGUUUAAGAGCGUGGCAUGACAUUGUUCACUGAGGGAAAAAAAGAGAGAUAAUGGUGAACAUGGCAGUUGUCCUAACCGUCCAAAACAAAGGAACGAGGAGUCUUUUAAAGACCAGGGACGCACAGUGAUAAACAGCUAAUCUGAAGAGAUGCAGAGUUCAGUUUGACACAAAACAGGCUUCGCGUGAAGAUAUGUGAGGGGAAAAGUUUAAAGAACGCUUACAAAUAGACAAGAAAAUCACACUAAAGGGAGUCUUCAAAUGGGAACAUUUACAAAUAAGCGUUUCCAAGUUUAAUUUCUCAACUGAGAACAGUAUAAAAGCAAAAUAAACAGUGCCACUGAAACAAAGUCUGACAGAGAAAUCUCACAAGAAGGAGAUUCUGACCACCACAGAAGAAACAACUCGUUUUGGUUACAUUCCUUACAAAUGGUCAACUAAAUAAAAUAAGCUACAAAUUAACUUUGAAGUGGAAGUAAGCUACUUCCUAUAAAUGUGUGAGACUUCUUAUUCAUUAAACCCUUUAGACCUUAGUCAUAGUAGUGUCAUGUUUAAUUGUUAACGGGAAUGAAACCAAGGCUGUGAGGGAUACAAGUACAGAGCAGUCAAAAUAUUCUACUGUUUAACAACAUACCAACUCCCUGCAGACCAAAACCCCAUAAAACUCUUUUGAAUGUUUUAAGUUUCACAGUGCACGCCAUUCUACAAGUCUACCCCUCACAGAUUUGCUUUCAUCAGUGUUAAAUUCAAUAUGGCAUUGAACCUAAUCAAGGUCAAUGGGUAAAUAACCAAAAGAUUAAGAGUGCACUAAACGAUAAAACGGCAUCCAGUAUACAAAACUCUACUGCUCUACAAACCACUGUUCUUAUGGCUCUAACAUAACCAAUACCAAAGAAACAGAUUUUUGUGCAAAUAAAUUAAAUGAAAGAGCAAAUGCCAUUUUACUCCAUUUAAGAAAUAAUACUAAUGCUUGUAUAACGUUUAGAAGAAUUCUAAACUAACAUGUUGCGAGUCUAAAACCUACAGAAAUGGUCUCUGAAUCCUUCUCUCUCCACCUCAACCAGCUCACUUUACUAACCUCUGAUCUAUCUCAUGUAAACACACACAGUGCUGUACUAUUGAUUUCUUCUCAGUGCUGGCUGCAGACUGACUGUAUGAUAGACAGCAAUGAAGCUGAACGAAAGCUGGGAGAGGAGGACUAGGGACACAUGCCGCCCCAGGAGAGAGGCUUCUGGCUGGGCUGAAGUGGGCCGAUGAGGGGUGGGGGUGUAUUUCUCAUCACACACUGGGGGCUUAUCAGCAGAUAACACACACCGACCAAUACAGUGAGCAAACAAAAAAAAAAAGACAUUUUACCUUUAUUAAAAACAACAGCAAUGAUGAAUAAAUAGAAAUGAACCAAUCUUUUGUUAGCCUUUUCUUAAUUUUUUUCCAUUAUGUAAUACAUAUAACACUCUACAAUCAAAGAUAAUUGCGUAACUAUGCAGAGAUUGAAUUCUGGUGGGAUAGAAUUCCCCUGGUUGGGAAAAAAAAAAAAAAACAAAAGCUCUCUGUAAAAUUACCAUCCCUUUGGAUUAUUUAUGUAGUGUUUUAAGUAAAUUAUGUAACUAUGCAUCAGGCAAAUAAAAUGUAAAAAUCCUCUAAUUAUGACAAUUUGUGAACUAAAAAGUGCCCAUUGGCCAAUUAGAAAUUGGUACUUUUACAAGCUGUGCAUAUGCUUAAAUCUUUUAUUUUUCUUGCAAAGAGGUUCUUUAAAACGAAGAUAACAGACGGUCUGAAUUUAAAGACAUUCCCGUGACAGUGUUAUUGUAAUGCAUGUGUGACAGGGACUUAAAGAUGACAGAAGUGCUCACAUUAUCGAGUAGCCUAUAUGUCAAGUCCAGCUUUGCAAUAGUCCAAAAGCAUUCACUGUUCAAUGAAGCCUAUUCAAAAGCAGUCAGAAUGCACUUGUAAUUAUAUUAAAAGAUCUCGUUUUUAUAUUUACUGCACGAGCAAUGUUUUGCACAUGUGCAUGAGUACAAAUGUUAUUUAUCGAGGCGUAACCAGCCACGGUGCCGGCCCAAAAACACAUUCAGCUAAAUAUGGUUUCAUUAUUAACAGUAUUGACCAACAUUCUUCUAUUUCAGUCCCCAUAAGAUAAAAAACUAUUAUAAAUAAUAAUUCAUUUGAUAAGGCAAACUCUCAAUAUAACAAAAAACUAAUUUUGUAGCCUUUGUCUAAAAUUAGCCAAUGUAAAAGUACAUGUAUUCAUACCAAAACAUUUCAGUACAAGUAUUUCAGUUUGGUAGGCAAGUGUACCAAAAUUAUUUUUUUACAUUUUUCAGUAAAUUCAAACAAUAAAUGCCACAUUUUGGCACUUUACAAUGUGGUGACAGAUGACUAACUAGUGUUAACAUAAAAUAAAUAUGAAUGAAAUUAAGUCUAGCGUAUUUUGAGAAAUAUUACAUAUUUCAUUAUAUUUCACUUACCUCUUAGUGAUGUCUUAAUGUAUGUAUAAAUAGGUAGAUAGGAGAGCCAAAUGAAUAUAUUUCAACAACAAACAGUGAGCAAUGAUUAUUAGAUUUAAAAAUAAACAGUAGCCUAAUUGAUCUGAGUUUGGUUUGGGAUCUGUUGUUAACUGUAACCAAAAUAGAGCAGAA